UACGUAGGGGGCAAGCGUUGUCCGGAAUCAUUGGGCGUAAAGCGCGCGUAGGCGGCCCGGUAAGUCCGUUGUGAAAGUCAAAGGCUCAACCUUUGAAUGCCGACGGAUACUGCCGGGCUAGAGUCCGGAAGAGGCGAGUGGAAUUCCUGGUGUAGCGGUGGAAUGCGCAGAUAUCAGGAGGAACACCUAUAGCGAAGGCAGCUCGCUGGGACGGUACUGACGCUGAGGCGCGAAAGCGUGGGGAGCGAACAGG
rnacentral:rRNA from 1 species